rnacentral:lncRNA from 1 species
CAAGGAACAGGUCACAAGGACAGCUGUAAAUCCCAGGACUGGAGUGAUAGCUCAGCUGGCCUGAAAAGCAUGAGACCUGAAUUCGAUCCUCUGGAUUUCCUGUAAAGAUGCCAAGCUUGAUGGUACAUUUAUGGUCUAGUGCUGGCGAGGUGGGGACAAGCAAAUUCCAGGAGUUUGGUGUCACACUACUUGGUGACUGUUGCUGUCAGCUUUGGUGGUAAAGGAAAACUGCCUGUUUGCACUUACUGCAGAGACUUUGUAAGUCUUCAAUCUCUGAGAACAACUGUCCUUAUUGUGACAUGGUAGCUCAAAGCUCAGCCAUAAAUGGGAGGAGACACUCCUAUAUCUGUAUAAACCCCUCCAAGGAUUGUGGAGCAAAGAGGAAGGAGGAAGGGGGUGUAAAGAAUGAGGGAGAGUGUUGUCUAUAUUUCUCAGAGUUGAAGCACUCUCUCCUGGAGGUGGGACAGAGACUCCUGGAAGCUAAGGAAGCUUACAAGGCUCAGCAAGCUCAUAGAAGCUGCUAGUGUCACAAGGCCCCUCCCUAAGGGUAUAAAAAGCAAUGCAUAACUGCUAAGGAGAGACCUUUGGCUGAACUGCCAAUAGGUUGGGAAGGGAACUCCAGAGAUGCAGCUUUUGGGUGUCAUCACCCAUACUGGGGUGGGCCUUUUAGUGAUGUAGCUGCUUUUGAGUCCACCCCUCCCCUGUGUUCCUGUAAGUAACCCCAAUAAACUUACUGAUUCAACAAGCUAGACUUGGCAGGGGUAAAGGAUCCUUUCUGUGGUCUGUGUCCUCUCUGGACUGAACAAACAUUUGUUCAUACUGUUUCAGGAAAAGUCACACUACAAGCUAAUCUUAAUAAAUCAAAAACCUUAAAAUUAGUCAGGCAGUGGUGGCAUACUCCUUUAAUUCCAGCACUUGGGAGGCAGAAUCAGGAGGAUCUCUGUGAGUUCAAGGCCAGUUUGCUCUACAAAGUGAGUUCCGGGACAGCCAGGGCUACACAGAGAAACCCUGUCUCUAAAAACUCAAAAAACAAAACAAAACAUAAAACCAAACAACAACAACAAAAACUUAAAAUUAAUAAAGAGGGGG